rnacentral:lncRNA from 1 species
CUUAAAGCACCUGCCCUUGGUGACUCCUGCAUAUGAACAACAAUACUAUUUGCUCAUAUGCAUCAGUCACGAGGAAGGACUUAACUCGAAGGUUUUUUUUUCUAUAAUGGAUGUGAUGCUGAUUCUGGUGCAUGGUCAAUAAUCACUAAACAUACAGGUUUUGAUAUGUGACUACAUGUAUUAUUAACUCAAUUUAUAUUUCAUGUUUUUU